rnacentral:rRNA from 1 species
CCAUAGGUUAAUGAGGCGAACCGGGGGAACUGAAACAUCUAAGUACCCCGAGGAAAAGAAAUCAACCGAGAUUCCCCCAGUAGCGGCGAGCGAACGGGGAGGAGCCCAGAGCCUGAAUCAGCAUGUGUGUUAGUGGAAGCGUCUGGAAAGGCGCGCGAUACAGGGUGACAGCCCCGUACACAAAAGCGCAUGUGCUGUGAGCUCGAUGAGUAGGGCGGGACACGUGGUAUCCUGUCUGAAUAUGGGGGGACCAUCCUCCAAGGCUAAAUACUCCUGACUGACCGAUAGUGAACCAGUACCGUGAGGGAAAGGCGAAAAGAACCCCGGCGAGGG